rnacentral:rRNA from 1 species
AGUGAACGCUGGCGGCAGGCCUAACACAUGCAAGUCGAGCGGCAGCGCGGGGGCAACCCUGGCGGCGAGCGGCGGACGGGUGAGGAAUUCGUGGGAAUCUGCCUUUUUGUGGGGGAUAAUGUCGGGAGACUUCCGCUAAUACCGCAUACGUCCUACGGGAGCAAGUGGGGGACCGCAAGGCCUCACGCACAAAGGUGAGCCGACGACCGACUAGCUAGUUUGUGGGGUAAAGGCUCACCAAGGCAACGAUCGGCAGGUGGACUGAGAGGAUGAUCAGCCACACGGGAGCGGAGACACGGCCCCGACUCCUGCGGGAGGCAGCAGUCGGGAAUAGUGGACAAUGGUGGCGAGCCUUAUCCAGCCAUGCGGCGUGUGUGAAGAAGGCCUUCGGGUUGUAAAGCACUUUUGUCCGGAAAGAAAUCCCUGGGGCUAAGACCUUCGGGGGAUGACGGUACCGGGAGAAUAAGCACCGGCUAACUUCGUG